rnacentral:lncRNA from 1 species
GAUCAAACCUAGGGGUGCUUUACCACUGGGAUACAUUCCCUAACCUUUUUUAUUUUUUCUAUUUUGAUACAGGGUCUUGCUAAAUUGCUGAAGCUGAUCUUGAACUUUAAUCCUCCUGCCUCAUCCUGUUGAGUUGCUAGAAUUACAAACAUGCACCAUCUGGCCCAGCACAAUUUCUUUUUCAUAAUAUUUUCAAAAUUGUAAUUGACACAUAAUCAAUUUCUUUCUUCCUUCCUUCUUCUUUCCUUCCUUCCUUCCUUUCUUUCCUUCUUUCCUUCCUCCUCCCUUCCUUUCUUUCUUUCUAUGUGUGGCACUUGAAAUUGAACCACCCAGGGUCUCAUAUGUGCUAGGCAAAGGCUCUACCAUUGAGCUACAUCCCCAGCCCUUUAUAUUUUAUUUUGAAACAGGGACUUGCUAAAUUGCUCAGGCUGGUCUUGAAUUUUCAAUCCUCCUGCCUCAGCCUCCCUAAUCUCAGGGAUUAUAGACAAGUUGCCACCAUAUCCAGAGAAGAAUAAGAAGAAGGAGAAGAAAUAUACUAGGCAUACAGAAAGUUAUAAAGAAUAGCCGAGGGGCUGGGGUUAUGGCUCAUCAGUAGAGUACUCACCUAGCAUGUGCCAGGCCCUGGGUUUGAUCCUUGGCACCACGUAAAAAUAAAUAAAAUAAAGGUAUCGUGUCUAACUACAACUAAAAAAUAAAUAUUAAAACAAAAAAGAAUAGCCAAGCAUUGUAGUGCCCACCUAUAAUCCUAGUGAUGUGGGAGGCUAUGGCAGAAGGGUCCCAAAUUUGAGGCCAGCUACAGCCAUUUUGCAAAAACAACAACCACAAAAAAUUAUAAAGAAUACUAAAAUUUAAAAAAAACAAGAAAAAAAAAUUUAUCACAGAUUUAUCAAAUCUUAGUUUCUAAAUUUCUUUUCAUUUUUUUGUAGUUAUAGAUGGACAGAAUGCUUUUAUUUUGUUUAUGCAGUGCUAAGGAUCAAGCCCAGUGCCUCACAUAUGCCAGACUAGUGUUCUGCCACUGAGUUAUAGCCCCAGCCCAGAUCUUAGUAUUUUAUCACAUUUGCUUUAAAUUCUUUUUUUUUUUAAGAUAGAGAGAGGAGAGAGAGAGAGAAUUUUUUUAAUAUUUAUUUUUUAGUUUUCAGCGGACACAACAUCUUUGUUUGUAUGUGGUGCUGAGAAUCGAACCUGGGCCGCACGCAUGCCAGGCGUGCACGCUACCGCUUGAGCCACAUCCCCAGCCCAACUUUAAAUUCUCUUUUAUUUAUUUAUUUAUUUAUUUUGAGAUUGAACACUACUGUUUUUUUUUAUUGGUUGUUCAAAACAUUACAAAGCUCUUGACAUAUUUCAUACAUUAGAUUCAAGUGGGUUAUGAACUCCCAUUUUACAGCAGAUGGGGUAGAGAGAGAAGAUGGGAGGAGAGGGGAGGGGGUAUAGUAAAGGAUAGGAAAGGUAGCAGAAUACAACAGUUACUAAUAUGGCAUUAUGUAAAAAUGUGGAUGUGUAACCGAUGUGAUUCUGCAAUUUGUAUUUAAAUUCUCUUUUAAAGAAAUCAGCGAAGCUAGGAGCUUUGGCCUUUGCCUGUAGCCCCAGCAACUCCACAGGCCGAGGCAAGAGGGUGGCAAGUUCCAGGCCAGCCUAAGCAAUUUAGAAAGCCCCUCAUAAACUUAUCGAGACCCUGCUCAAACAAAAAAAUAAAAAGUGUUGGUGAUGUAGCUCAGUGGUAAAGUGCCCCUGGGUUCAAUCCCCAGAACUACAGAAAAAUGGAUAAAUAAAUAAAUAAGAUUAAAGAAAUUAGUAUUUCAGAUCAAGUUAAACCCUUUAAGUACUCCUCCCUGGUCUCUUUCCUAUCAUUUUUCACCUUCUGUCUGAGAAAUAACUACUAUCCCAAAUUGGUAUUUAUUUUGUUUAUGUACUUAAACAAUUUUAUUGCUUAAUAUACACAUAAGUCUAUUGAAACAUAGCCCCCCUUUGAAAUUAAAAUCUCCAAAUUGUUUUAACUUCUGAACUUCCUCAUACUGAGAAUGGAUGUUGAGGGAGGCUGGCCUUAAGGGGCACCUGGGAACCUGAGAGAGUGACACAUUUCCUAGCUAAAUCUAUACAUGUAUGUUUCCUACCUUUUGUCCCACUGUGCCCCUGAGUCUGAUAAGACAGAGAAUUGAAAAAGGGAAAAGUCUCUUUUAUAUUUCUUGAAGCCAGCUUUUUUUUUCCCCUUGCCAAAACUGCCUCCUGAGUUUUUAGUGGAGUAGAACAAGGAGUCAAAUCUCUUGCCCCCUCUUUCACAUUGGGCAUAAACCUGUUGACAGAAUUGCUGAGUCACAGGGCAUGUGUAAGCUCAGCUUCAGUAGAUGUUGUAUUGUAGGGACAGAGGAGGCAAGGCGCUGAAGAUAGCAGGAAACAGUUUUAUUUGGCUGCAGCCAGGCUCAGAGGGCACAGCUUUUGCUGUAAUCAAUUAAUCUCCUGAACCCUGAGUUCAGGUAGUUUCAGAGUUUUAUACCCAGCAUGUAAGGGGAGGGGCUCAGAAGUUCACAUAAAAGCAGCUUUUUUUUUUUUUUUCCCACUGUUUUGGGCAAGUUAACCCUUCAAGGACAACAUCUAAGAAAGGGAGAGCUUCCUCCCCUUUCUUUCCUCCCCCUGCCCAUUGUUACCAUGGAGCUCAGUUGGUAACUUACCUUUAAAAUGUAGACAUCUUUGUGAAGUCCCAGCUCAAGGCCAGAGGCCUUGUUUGCACAUUUCUACAAACGACUAUACUGGAUAUAUUUGUGAAAAACUAGUAAGGGGAUGUCCAGCACCUGGAGUUCUGGUAUCUUCCCUGCCAAUGGCCAAGUAAAACUGGGCGACAUGAAAAUAGGAAGUUUAUCUACAUUGAACUCUUUUGCAUAGACUCUUUUGCUGACAUUCCUAAAAUCAGACAUGGUGAAGAUUUCUAGAGAAGCUCAGUUAAGACUUUUCUGUGGAGAAAGGGGGUGCCACUUCAGUUGCCCACAUAUUUUCUGAAGAGAUUGUAAUAGUUCCAACUCCUAUAGCAAUAUAUAAGAGGUCUAGAUACUGCACAUCCUUGCAAACUAUUUUUUAACUUUUUUGGGGAGGUGGGGUUCAAUGGGGAUUGAACCCAGGGCCUUGCACUGUAGUGGCACUCCCUCCUCCACAGAAAAAUCUUAAUUAAGCUUCUCUAGGGACCCUCACCAAAUCUAUUCUUAGACUAUCAGCAAGAAUUUCUGCAAAAAUUUCUGCAAAAAAAGUUUUCAGGUGGGAAGUGUGUUUCCAGUAGACUGUGAUAAGGCAGUCUAGUCCAGCCAGGAGCUUUCACAAAGGCAUUCGCAUUUCAAAGGAUAGAAGUUAGAUCCUAGGGAUCUAACUUUACAGUCCACAAGAUAGGAGUAAAUGGUACAAAUCAGGUUCCUUGGAAACCAGCUUGGUGGUAGUGUGUGUGUGUGUGUGGGGGGGGGAACCUCUUCCUUUCCUAGGCACUGGUUUUUACAGAGGGUGUCCUUGAUUUAUUUUCCAGGCCUGGGUUGAUUGCCCAGAAUAGUAGGAAAAAACUACUUUUAUGUGGACUUCUGCAGAUUGUGAGCCUCUGAGCUCUUUCUUCCCCUACACACUGGGUAUAAAGUUCUAAGCAUUUCUGAACUCAGGGUUCAGAGGGACAAACUGGUUUAGGCAAAAGCCAUCUCUGGACCUGGCUACAGCCAAUAAACCUGCUUCCUGCUAAUUCCUAGGUGUCCAGCUUUGUCUGUCCUAUAACAGCAAUGCUAGGCAAGCGCUCUAUAAUUGAUCUAUAUCCUCAGCCUACAUCCUUGAAAACUCUGAUGAUGAUCUUUUUAAUUUCAGUUAUUUUGAUGAAUCUCAGUGAGGCAUUAAUUGUAUUUCUGUGAUUUCUACUGAAGUCAAGCACUUUUUUUUUUUUAAUCAGUGUCAAUUGGUUAUCUUGUGUUAUAUGUCAUGUUAUCUUCUGUGAGAAACAGAAAUUCUGGUGGUCCAUUUUCAGAAUAUAGUAUUUAGCCUUAACUGGGAUGUAACAUCCAAUUGAAACUGGUCUUGAAAAUCAGGAUAAGGUCCUUAACCCCCCUCCCACCCCUCCCACAACACACACACACACACACACACACACACUGACGAUUAAACACCUGAGAAAUGCUAAGGCAAGAGCAAAAAGUUUUGUGUAAAGGAUAAGAGAGAGAGAGAGAGAUAUUCCUCCAGAGAGGAGAGAGUCCAGAGCUGGUGCCCAAGGAAGUAGGGGUGUCUUGCCCCUUUUAUAGAUUUCAGGUUUCCUUUCUCCUCAUGCUUCCUCCUCACAUCCUGCCUACGUGACCAAAAGGGCAGGAAGAGAGUUAUCUGGGGAGUGAUUGCUUGUGCUGGAAAACGUGAUCCUUCACCUUCCCCAGAGGUUGUUAGCAACCAGAUGAUGGGGAGUGCUAUCUACUCAUUAACUUUUUCUUGGUACCUGUCCUUUGCAGCUAUCUGUUCAUUGUCCUGCUCUCACAAUCAUAGUCAUGUUAACUAUACCCCUUUGCCCUCCCCAAUUUUAAAAUUAGCCCAUUGCAUAGAUUGUUACCCCAAGCUCUUCCUAUCAGAGCAUGGGACAGUGCUGCCUUAGGGAUAAAAAUAGGUGGACUGUCCACCAAAGUGUACUUCCUUUCAGACUUUGUUUAGUAGCACACCUUCUGCAGAAGGUGUUUGCCUUGCCAAGGUUGUUGUUGUUGUUAUUCUUCUUCUUUUUUAAUUAGGUAUAUAUGACAGCAGAAUGCAUUUUGAUUUCAUUGUAUACAAUUGCAGCACAACUGUACAUUUCUAUGGUUGUAUACUAUGUAGCUGGUCAUACCAUAUGUGCAGUCAUACAUUGUACCUAGGGUAAUAAUGUCCAUCUCAUUCCACCAUCUUUCCUACCUCCAUUUCCCCCCACCCCUACCUCCCCUUUGCCCCAUCAAAGUUCCUCCAUUUUUCCCAUCCCCCCCCAGAGAGAACAUUUUGCCAAGGUACUUCUGAGCAUGUGUUUGAUUUCUUGCAGUACCCAGUAUUUCUAACAAUUUUGGCGUCCAACAUGGGGCUCCAUACAUUGCCUAGGGGAUUGUGAGUACUCCCUCUUUAGAGGACAAACCUGCUAGCUUGUUGUGGUGGCCUUGGAGUGGGGGAGGAAACCUGCAAUCCCUGAGGCUGACAACAGACCCCAAAUUGAAAGUGGAUCAGCAACCCAGGGAAAGAGCCUAAGGAAGCACCACGGUGACUAGGUAACCCCGUGCACAGACCAAGGUAGAAAAAUCUAUUCUUGAGAAAGACGUGGUGGUCAGGACAUCUUGGAGGUUGAGAGGGUGUUGCAAGAAACUUCCAGUGGGGGGUUCAGCCCCCCCACCAAAAAAAAAUAAAAAACCUCUAAAACUGUAGUGUAGAAAAAGAGAAUGCUGGCAAGGGAAAAGACACCCAAAUUUCCCCAGAUGCCCCUUUGGGUCUUAUGUUAAAAUAUUGGAAAGAUAGUCCUAGGACAAAAGGGAAGAAGAAACCAAAGAUGAUAAAAUACUGUUGUUUUUAUUUGGACUCAUUAAGCAUGUAAGGAGUUUGGGGUAUACAAUAAAUCUCCAGAAAAAAAUUCUAGGCCUAGGGACAGGGAGGGAAAAUGAAAAGCACAGGCCCAUCCUAUGUCUGAGUCAUACUGUAAAAAGCUGUAACGGGCUGUAUUUUAAUUUCUAAAGGGUUAAAUCUCACCUGUAAGGAUUUAAUACCUGGUAAACAGCUACCAAAUCUUUGUUUCAUCUCAGUUUUAUGUACACUUCAACAUACCUGUGUUAUUGUAUGUCAUGUUUAUAUACAUGCUUGUGUCUAUAUCUUGUACAUGGUAUCAAAAUUGGUUUAUAGAUAAAUGAGUUCUCAUAAAUUUAAUACAUGGAUCCAAGUCCCUUUCAGUUUAUGUGACUUAAAUAAAACUAACAAAUAAGAGUCAAUUUAAAUUGGUAAGAGUAAAGAUGCUAUUGAAAUCACUAAUCCACAUAUUUUUCUAGGUGGCAAACCAACCAAAGUGUUGGUUUCUAUAAAAUGUUUAAAGUGCAAUGUCUGUUGCUUCUAAGGAUUUUUCUUUGGCAGGAAUAAAUCUAGUUAAAUUAUUAACUAGGCUUGUUUGAUAGCUUGGUUUUCAUGGGUAACCUAAGAUAGAAAUGGGUAAAUUGGGUUUUUAAAAAUAUUUAUUUUUUAGGUGUAGUUGGACACAAUACCUUUAUUUAAUUUAUUUAUUUUUAUGUGGUGCUGAGGAUCGAACCCAAGGCCCUGAAUGUGCUAGGCAAGUGCUCUACCACUGAGCUACAACCCAAGCCCUGGUAAAUUAGUUUUUGUGUGUGUGUGUGUAUGUGUAUGUGGUGCUGGGGAUUGAAUCCAGGGCCUUGUGCAAGCGAGGCAAGUGCUCUACCAACUGAGCUAUAUCCCCAGCCCCCUUAGUUUUUAACAUAAAUAGAAUUAAUCUUCAGAAAUGUGUUAGAAGAGACAUCUGAGCCAGGAGUGGUGUCGCAUGCCUGUAAUCCCAGCAGCUUGGGAAGCUAAGGCAAGAGGAUCACACGUUCAAAACCAGCCUCAGCAACAGCAAGGUGCUUAGCAACUCGUUGAGACCCUGUCGCUAAAUAAAAUUCAAAAUAGGGUUGG